GAUGAACGCUAGCUACAGGCUUAACACAUGCAAGUCGAGGGGAAACGGCAUUGAGUGCUUGCACUCUUUGGACGUCGACCGGCGCACGGGUGAGUAACGCGUAUCCAACCUUCCCAUUACUGUGGGAUAACCUGCCGAAAGGCAGACUAAUACCGCAUAGUCUUCGAUGACGGCAUCAGAUUUGAAGUAAAGAUUUAUCGGUAAUGGAUGGGGAUGCGUCUGAUUAGCUUGUUGGUGGGGUAACGGCCCACCAAGGCAACGAUCAGUAGGGGUUCUGAGAGGAAGGUCCCCCACAUUGGAACUGAGACACGGUCCAAACUCCUACGGGAGGCAGCAGUGAGGAAUAUUGGUCAAUGGACGGAAGUCUGAACCAGCCAAGUAGCGUGCAGGAUGACGGCCCUAUGGGUUGUAAACUGCUUUUGUAUGGGGAUAAAGUUAGGGACGUGUCCCUAUUUGCAGGUACCAUACGAAUAAGGACCGGCUAAUUCCGUGCCAGCAGCCGCGGUAAUACGGAAGGUCCAGGCGUUAUCCGGAUUUAUUGGGUUUAAAGGGAGCGUAGGCUGGAGAUUAAUUGGGUGUGAGAUGUAGACGCUCAACGUCUGACUUGCAUCGCAUACUGGUUGCCUUGAGUACGCACAACUUUGGCUGAAAUUCGUCGUGGAGCGGUGAAAUGCUUAGAUAUUGACGAAUACUCCCAAUGGUGAGGCUGCUGACUGGGAGCGCGACUGACUCUUAAGCGCGAAGGUCGGGUAUCGAACAGU
rnacentral:rRNA from 1 species